rnacentral:rRNA from 1 species
AAAUUACCGGGGCUAAGCUAUACACCGAAAUUGCGGAUUUACACUUGAAAGAUAGUGUAAGUGGUAGAGGAGCAUUCUGUAGUAGGGAGAAGCAAAAGCGAGAGCAUUUGUGGACGAGGCAGAAGAGAGAAUGCUGGAAUAAGUAGCGAGAGCAAGGUGAGAAUCCUUGCCGUCGAAAGUCUAAGGUUUCCUGGGGAAGGUUCGUCCGCCCAGGGUAAGUCGGGACCUAAGGUGAGGCUGAAAAGCGUAGCCGAUGGAUAGCAGGUUGAGAUUCCUGCACUAUAGAUAUACUUAAAAGAUGCAAGGGACGCAGGAGUGGAAGAUAAGCGAGGAAGAGGAAAGACUCGUAUCGCAAGAUAUAGUGAAAAUAAAGUGACGAAUUAUCAAGAAGCACACUGACGAGAAAAGCUUGUAGAUAUUGUAUAUAAAUACCCGUACCGCAAACCGACACAGGUAGAUGAGGAGAGGAUCCUAAGACGAGCGGGAGAAGCAUUGUUAAGGAACUCGGCAAAUUGACCCCGUAACUUAGGGAGAAGGGGUGCCAAGGUAGAACUUGGCCGCAGUGAAGAGGUUCAAGCAACUGUUUAACAAAAACACAGGUUUCUGCUAAAUCGAAAGAUGAAGUAUAGGAGCUGACGCCUGCCCAGUGCUGGAAGGUCAAAGGGAAGUGUUAGUAAAAACUUACGAAGCACAGAACUCAAGCCCCAGUGAACGGCGGCCGUAACUAUAACGGUCCUAAGGUAGCGAAAUUCCUUGUCAGGUAAGUUCUGACCCGCACGAAAGGCGUAAUGAUUUGAACACUGUCUCGACAAUGUACCCGGCGAAAUUGUAGUACUAGUGAAGAUGCUAGUUACCUGCGACAAGACAGAAAGACCCCAUGGAGCUUUACUGCAGCUUGAUACUGGGUUUUGGUAAUUUAUGUACAGGAUAGGUGGGAUACGAAGAAGCAAGUGCGCCAGCAUUUGUGGAGUAGACGUUGGGAUACCACUCUUAAAUUAUUGAAAUUCUAACCUGUGAUCAUGAACUGGUCAGGGGACAAUGUCAGGCGGGCAGUUUGACUGGGGCGGUCGCCUCCUAAAGAGUAACGGAGGCGCCCAAAGGUUUCCUCAGCACGGACAGAAAUCGUGCAAAAGAGUGUAAAGGCAGAAGGAAGCUUAACUGGGAGACUGACAAGUCGAGCAGAUACGAAAGUAGGGCUUAGUGAUCCGGCGGUAGUGAGUGGAAAUGCCGUCGCUCAAC